UACGUAGGGGGCGAGCGUUGUCCGGAUUUAUUGGGCGUAAAGAGCUCGUAGGCGGCUUAGCAAGUCGGGUGUGAAAACUCCAGGCUCAACCUGGAGACGCCACUCGAGACUGCUAUGGCUAGAGUCCGGUAGGGGACCACGGAAUUCCUGGUGUAGCGGUGAAAUGCGCAGAUAUCAGGAGGAACACCGGUGGCGAAGGCGGUGGUCUGGGCCGGCACUGACGCUGAGGAGCGAAAGCAUGGGUAGCGAACAGG
rnacentral:rRNA from 1 species